rnacentral:tRNA from 1 species
GAAGGUAUAGCUGAGUGGUAAAGUGCACACUUUGUGUGCACGAAGUCCUGGGUUCGAUACCCAGAACCUCCA